rnacentral:rRNA from 1 species
CCUACGGGAGGCAGCAGUGAGGAAUAUUGGUCAAUGGGCGCAAGCCUGAACCAGCCAAGCCGCGUGAGGGAAGACGGCCCUACGGGUGGUAAACCUCUUUUUCCGGGGAGCAAGCCUGAGCACGUUUGCCCAGGCGGAGAGUACCCGGAUAAAAAGCAUCAGCUAACUACGUGCCAGCAGCCGCGGUAAUACGGAGGAUGCGAGCGUUAUCCGGAUUUAUUGGGUUAAAGGGGUGCGCAGGCGGGCUGUUAAGCCGGCGGUAAAAAUUCAGGGCUCAACCCUGUCGAGCCGUCGAAACUGGCAGCCUUGAGUGGGCGAGAGGUAUGCGGAAUGCGUGGUGUAGCGGUGAAAUGCAUAGAUAUCACGCAGAACGCCGAUUGCGAAGGCAGCAUACCGGCGCCCGACUGACGCUGAGGCACGAAAGCGUGGGGAGCGAACAGGAUUAGAUACCCGUGUAGUC